rnacentral:rRNA from 1 species
CGCGGCCUAUCAGCUUGUUGGUGGGGUAAUGGCCUACCAAGGCGGCGACGGGUAGCCGACCUGAGAGGGUGUACGGCCACAUUGGGACUGAGAUACGGCCCAGACUCCUACGGGAGGCAGCAGUGGGGAAUAUUGCACAAUGGGCGCAAGCCUGAUGCAGCGACGCCGCGUGGGGGAUGAAGGCCUUCGGGUUGUAAACUCCUUUCGCUAGGGACGAAGCUUUGUGUGACGGUACCUAGAUAAGAAGCACCGGCUAACUACGUGCCAGCAGCCGCGGUAAUACGUAGGGUGCGAGCGUUGUCCGGAAUUACUGGGCGUAAAGGGCUCGUAGGUGGUUUGUCGCGUCGUCUGUGAAAUUCUGGGGCUUAACUCCGGGCGUGCAGGCGAUACGGGCAUAACUUGAGUGCUGUAGGGGUAACUGGAAUUCCUGGUGUAGCGGUGAAAUGCGCAGAUAUCAGGAGGAACACCGAUGGCGAGGGCAGGUUACUGGGCAGUUACUGACGCUGAGGAGCGAAAGCAUGGGUAGCGAACAGGAUUAGAUACCCUGGUAGUCCAUGCCGUAAACGGUGGGCGCUAGGUGUGAGGGUCUUUCUACGACUUUCGUGCCGUAGCUAACGCAUUAAGCGCCCCGCCUGGGGAGUACGG